rnacentral:rRNA from 1 species
UUGGAGGGCAAGUCUGGUGCCAGCAGCCGCGGUAAUUCCAGCUCCAAUAGCGUAUAUUAAAGUUGUUGCAGUUAAAAAGCUCGUAGUUGAAUUUCGGGAUCAAGGAAUCGGUCAUGCCUCGGUAUGUACUGGUUUUAUUGGUUCUCACCUUCUAAAGAACCAUGAUGUCAUUCAUUUGAUGUUAUGGGGAAUUAGGACUGUUACCUUGAAAAAAUUAGAGUGUUUAAAGCAGGCUUACGCUUGAAUACAUUAGCAUGGAAUAAUGAAAUAGGACAUCAGAUUCUAUUUUGUUGGUUUCUAGGAUCGAUGUAAUGAUUAAUAGGGAUAGUUGGGGGCAUUAGUAUUCAAUUGUCAGAGGUGAAAUUCUUGGAUUUAUUGAAGACUAACUACUGCGAAAGCAUUUGCCAAGGAUGUUUUCAUUAAUCAAGAACGAGAGUUAGGGGAUCGAAGACGAUCAGAUACCGUCGUAGUCUUAACCAUAAACUAUGCCGACUAGGGAUCGGAUGAUGUUAAUUUUAUAAUGACUCAUUCGGCGCCUUACGGGAAAC